AAGUAUUUGAUAGGUAGCUGAGUAAUUAUUCUAUCGAACUGUAUCAGUGGACCGGAGUCUGACAAAUAAGAGGAAUUUUAAUUAAUUACCCCUAAUUGCCGCAGCCCAGGGGCGGCAUAUUAGCAAUCGGGAAACUUUUGUACCCGCACGCAGGACAUGCGAAGCGUCUAGACUAGAUUUCUCUUCAUUUAUCUCAGAAAUUAAAACUAAAGGUUUUUAAAGAAAUCGAUAGAAUUGGAGAGAAAAUCAAAAACAGGAGAUAGAAAAAGAAUCUAUAUUAAUUAUUUAACGAAACAUGCUCAG